AUGAUAAAAUUCACAACGUACUUUAUUACAAACUUUUUAAUUGAACAAUAUAGUUAAUAGUAAAUUGCUCGGGGAAUCGACACGGGUAAACGAGCUCGAACGCAGACUCGACUAAUUGUCACAUAUACAUACCUGGCCAAAGUAAUCGUAAAUAAUCGAAACAAUUUUAUAUUAUAUUCUAAUAUCAAUAUUUUCCGCUUUUAGCCGGAGCACGCUGCGAAAUGUUGCGAACGCACCUAAGCGGAAUGGAAUAAAAGAUUUUCCAUUGAUACACGCGUGUAACGAAUAGGUAUAAGUAUUCUAAUUUCUAUAUACAUAUAUACGGGAGAAGAAAGUAAGAAAGGGAGAAAAAUAGAAGGAACGAUGUCAUCGUUAUAAUUUAGUAUCAAAACAUAAACGUUACCUCGAAAUAAAAAUGUUUCUUUAACCAGCUGUUGUUUAAUUUUAGUCGCGAUAAAAUCAAAAGGACGCCUUUUAGCUCUUCGUAAAUGGGUGUUUACUACGAUAGUACUGGGUAUUUCAAGUCUAGAAAAAUGCAAGCCCGUUAGUAACUAAUAAAAAAAAGAUUAAAUCGUAAAUACUUGUAUUCGUACGUAACAUAUGUAAAA